GCAGUGAAUCACUCUCGUGUGCUACGGUUCCUAACUCGUGCAUUUUUUGUUGUUCUGAUCAAAUAUAUCGGGCAUCAGAUCAUCACAAAUUUGUGAGAGAACAAGUGGUCAACCAGCUGAAGUUACGACGAGACUUGUACGAAAAUUUUGUCCCGAUGCCUUAUGGUGAUUACAUAAAGAAAAUGAGCAAGAACGGGGAAUGGGGUGAUCACCUGACGUUGCAAGCUGCUGCAGAUUGGCUUGGCAUCAAAAUUUCGUCGUUACAUCAUACAGGGAUACAUGCUACAUCGAGAUCCUUCCACAGACUGAACAGAAGUCUGAUAGAACUAUAUUCUUGAGCUUCUGGGCUGAGGUUCACUACAACUCGAUAUAUCCAUUAGGAGAGUGGCUGGAGACGCUACCGGAGAUUGAAAAUGAUUCGGCUAUUGAUGGUGAAUUGGGGAAAAGGCUGAAUCAGCUUGUUCCUAUUCCUCAUGUUCCUAAAAUCAACGGCGAAAUACCCUCGGUUGAUGAAGCUACAUCAGACCAUCAAAGGCUUUUGUGGCUGUGUAAUUUUGUAUUUAGUUUCUAUCUUUUACUAUUUC